CAUGGCGUGCGCGGGGGCAGCAGUACGCCGCAGGAAGCAGUUGCUGUUCUCGAGCUGUUUGAAAUUCAUUUCUGCGGGAACAGGACGAUUUUACUGGCAGUUUAAAAUCGAACCAGGUGGAUUUCUUCACCCCGGUGGAUCGAGUGUAGGUUUGGUACCUUGAAUUCGUGGGUUCGUGUAGCACGUGAAAAAUAACGUUUAUUUAAGUUCGUUCACGCAUAUAUUUGAAUUGGUGUGCAUGUUUUCUAAUAAAAAGUAGUACAAUUCAGUCACCGAUAAAUUGAGCUUUGUUUCGGGGCAUAUAUAUAGUUGCCUUAUAGUGAAUUAUUUUUUUAAGAAUACGAAUGAGUUCCGACCUUUGAUCACACACAAGCCAUAGUGAAUUAUAAUUCUUCUACUAUGAAGUAGCCUUCUCCGUGAUACUACUCCUAUCCAUACGACCAUACCAACCAUCGCGUCCAUGUGCUCAUUUUUCCGAAAAAUCAACCGCCGGUGUUUAAAAACUUUUCCAUUUUUAAGUAGCAAGCGAGCAUUAAUGACCGCAUCUCCCCUCAAGAUUGGCAUAACGCACAAUCAAUGGCUAUCAUCAUGAUGCACCGUCUGUUUGGAUGGAUCGUGUGCACCGAUCCUGUUGCACAUUGUUCCCAUACCAUAUAUGUGGCUCAAGGAGUCAAGGGCCAUCUAUCCUAGCACAGCUCAUAUAUGCCGAUCAUGAACAUGUGGUACAUUCCAACAGUCCUCCAAAACUCUUUUUUUUUUUCUCUGCGAAAGAACAGCCCUCCAUAACAUGGGUUAUACCUAUUACUUUCACAAGAUUCUUGGUCCACCAAAUUGAGUUUGAAGGGAGUCAGGGCUUGUUUAGGUAAAAAUGUUAUAUGUAGAUUGGAGUGGAAUGAACUAAGGCCUCUACCAGCUAGUUCGAUGUGUCUGUUUUUGGCUUAUUUUGGAUUAAGCCAGCUUAUUCUCUCCCACAUAAUACUACUGAAUCAGCCGAAAUCGGACUACUGAAAAUUAUCUCGGCAUAAAUAAAAUUAGUACAUUCAGCAGUUUUUUUUGCCUUGUUGAAAAUGCUUGCCCAUCCUGCUUUUAAAAUCGGUAACCGUUCUCAGCAGUGGCAGUACGGAAAGCUUCUAAACGUCUCGGCGCAUGUCAAGGGUGGGUCCCAGGCUCCUAGCAAAGUCAGUCACCCUUUAAUUUUUCACACGUGGAAUCUGCCCCCUACUGGUUACACGACCAGCGGGCCUCUGUUUUACAUGACCAGCGGCCCAUAAAUUCGGCGUACCCGGCUGCCCACCGUCAGAUCUUGGUCGUUCGACUUCUUGGCAUUGACUGUUGAGCUAGAGCCCUAUUCGAUCGGUUUGUUUCAGUGACCUCCAAUUUACAAAUGGGAGCCCCCUACAUUGGAAACCACUAGGUGAACAGUAGCGUAAUUCAUGACACUAGCAGUCCAUACUUUGUACGUACUAGUUUGUACACAAAUCAGUGCGCUGCAAAAACUUCAGAUAAACUUGUAGGCGUCACACCGCACACGUGCCCGGCUCUUCAUUAGACUGACGGGCGCUGUCCCUUCCCAUGCCGGUUAGGUGUCGACUUGCGAUCCUCUUGCGUUACUUGGUUCUAUCUUGCGUGCCUCCCAGUCCCAGCGUUCACGCCCAAGCCAUGGCCCAAUCUAUAUAAAGCAAUGAUUCUUCAGCUCCCAACUCCUUCAAUUCGCAGACCUUUCAUGGUUUUUUUUUUGCGAUCAGAACUUUCAUGAUUUGACACCCUAACCCACAUGUUAAUGAUGUAGAUUGAUCCUACGUGUUAUUGCGGUACGGGUGUCAAAUUAUGAACGGCUCACGGAUUUGGACACAAAUUCCGAACCCUUUGAUCUCGCUACUAGCUGCAUCGUCAGUUAUGGGCCGCCGCCCUAGGUGGUUGCCGAUCGCCAAUCCGGGAUUCCUUCCCUUCCCAAAUGGCCGGGGACAGCCUCGCUUUACUUGCUGCCGGCAGGGGUCACUCUGUUCUCCAUUCCGGACGCGGAUCGCGUGGCGUCCAGAUCUGUGCCGCCGGCUGCGUCCCUUGCUCGGGUCGGGUACGCCCCCGCUCAAGUCAGCUGAGCAAUUUUUUUUUUUUGAGCAUCAGUCAGCUGAGCAAUUGAGCAUAACUGGUGGCAGCGACCGAGGUCUCGUGCCUCCACGGGGUUGGUUGCUCCAAAUCGUAAAAGCUCUUCUGGUUCUGCCAUGCUGGGUACUAGUAGUACAACAAAGGCAACCAACUGGUACGGCUAUGGUUUUCACAACUUUGGAGUUGGAACUUGGAAGUUUUUACAGCUGUUUGGAUAGAAAAAAAAAGAUCAGCAUGUACGCUUUCCAGUAAAAUUUAUUGUACCAUGACUUUUUGUCGACGUCGAAAUAAAGUUUUUUUUUCCUGUUGGAGGAAAACAAGCGGUUGAUGUACAAUUUCUACUCUGGCUUCAACGGGCCUCGCCUGGCCCAUAGUUAACUUCAAUCCGGCCCACAUAACUUGAGCCCGCUAUUUCGGCUAGUCA